rnacentral:tRNA from 1 species
GUCUGUAUAGUUUAAUAAAACAUUACAUUUUCAGUGUAAAAUUAGGUAAUAAUCUUACAGAUU